AGGAAGCUUUAGGCGCGGCACCUUCUGAGUCCCCUGGAACGGGGCGCCAUAAAGGGUGAGAGCCCCGUAUAGUUGGAUGCCUAGCCUGUGUAAAGCUCCUUCGACGAGUCGAGUAGUUUGGGAAUGCUGCUCAAAAUGGGAGGUAAAUUUCUUCUAAAGCUAAAUACCGGCCAGAGACCGAUAGCGCACAAGUAGAGUGAUCGAAAGAUGAAAAGCACUUUGAAAAGAGGGUUAAAUAGCACGUGAAAUUGUUGAAAGGGAAGCGCUUGUGACCAGACUUGCGCCGGGCUGAUCAUCCGGUGUUCUCACCGGUGCACUCUGCCCGGCUCAGGCCAGCAUCGGCUCUCGCGGGGGGAUAAAGGCCCCGGGAACGUAGCUCCUCCGGGAGUGUUAUAGCCCGGGGUGUAAUGCCCUCGCGGGGACCGAGGUUCGCGCAUCUGCAAGGAUGCUGGCGUAAUGGUCACCAGCGACCCGUCUUGAAACACGGACCAAGGAGUCAAGGUUUUGCGCGAGUGUUUGGGUGUAAAACCCGCACGCGUAAUGAAAGUGAACGUANGUGAGAGCUUCNGCGCAUCAUCGACCGAUCCUGAUGUUUUCGGAUGGAUUUGAGUAGGAGCGUU
rnacentral:rRNA from 1 species